GAUUUCUGGCUUGAAACAUUUGGCCGGCCACGGUUUCGUGUGUUAGUGCUUUGUGUUCUGGCCAUCCUUCCAAUCGCUGCGUGCUUUUCUUCAUUGAUUAGUGCGUGGUAUUGGAUCUUUUACUUUGAAAAAAUUAGAGUGUUUCAAGCAGGCUUUAUGCUAUGAAUACAUUAGCAUGGAAUAAUAAUUUAGGACUUUGGCCCUAUUUUGUUGGUUUCUAGGACUGAAGUAAUGAUUGAUAGGGAUAGUUGGGGGUGCUCGAAUUCAGCGGCCAGAGGUGAAAUUCUUGGAUUCGCUGAAGACGAACUCAUGCGAAAGCAUU
rnacentral:rRNA from 1 species